GAGAGGGUGCCGGCGGCUUGUCGGGGCGCGCCGGGGCGGCCGCGAUGGAGCGCGUGGAGCUUCAGACUCCUGGCAGCUCCGCGCACUCCGCUUCCAGAGGCUUGUUUGUCUCGUGCUCAUGUGGAAAGCCAGCCAGAAUGGUCAAGAGGUCCUUUCUCCUUCCUUCAACCUGAGAACUUGGCAAUGAUCAAAAGGAGGUGAUUAGUAGCUACAGAGAAAAGACACCAGCAGGCAAGGAGUUAACAGAGACGCUGAGCCCUCCACCUCCACCUCCGGAGUGGGAUGGGGGGUGUGUGUGUGAGAGCUGCACAAAGGCCCAAGUCCUAGAAGCCAACUCUGAAGAACAAAGUAGAGGAUCCAUUAAAAGUUAAUUCAGUAAAUAAACUUAAUUGGUGAUAAAACAAACAAGAAAGAUGGAAAGGCCAACUUAAAAUAGCCGAAGGAUAAUAAAAAUAAAUAGUUUUGAUGUGGCCUAAACAUAUGUGUGUGCGCCUUUGGGCCAGGCGGGUCCCUACAGUGCCCUGCCGGACACAGGCCUCUGGGGAGCACCCCUCCCCCGGAAAAGCCCCCGUGCGGAUAGGCAAUAUUUUGGGGGCAUUUGUUGGGUGUUUUUUAGGCAACUUCACACAUCAAAGGUGAGCACCGUGUUCUUUUCAGCUCUCUGGUUCCAGCCGCCCAGUGAAGCAGAUACAAUUUCUAUAAAUUGGCCUUCUCCUCUGGGUUUUGAUUGAUCAUCACCGUAUGAGAUUAUUGAAAGUCUAAUGUCUUAUUUCACUUUCUCCGAGGGGUGAGGAGGGGGAACAGUUGAUUGGAAGUCAGGCCACGUGAAGGCUCCGGUGCUGUGCAAUAGUAAUUUCCAUUAGCCUGGGGAAAGCGGCCUCCGGAAACUCCCAGGCAUCUCCUGCUGGUGCUGGCCCACCCUCCCCCGCCCCUCCCCCGCCCGCCGCAGCUUCAGGCCUUGUUAACAGGUACAGGACAAACCGGAGCCUUUGUAGUUGGAGGGAGAAAAUGGCUGUUGACGAAAAAUAAGGCAACAAAAGAUUCCUUUUCUCACGUAUUUAUUGGAACUUCAGAAUGCCCUCUUGAGGGUCGUUUCCCACUCCAAACUUUUCCGUCUCCCUUUUGCCUCCAUACCGUCUUUCAUUUUAUUAAAGUUGAUUAUGGUUUCUCUGUCUUGUCCCCAGCCAGACAAAGGCUUAGGGAAAGUCAAAGAACGUGUUAAUUAUA